rnacentral:rRNA from 1 species
CCCGCUGAACUUAAGCAUAUCAAUAAGCGGAGGAAAAGAAACCAACAGGGAUUGCCUUAGUAACGGCGAGUGAAGCGGCAACAGCUCAAAUUUGAAAUCUGGCCUUAGGGCCCGAGUUGUAAUCUGCAGAGGAUGCUUCGGGAGAGGUGCCUUCCCAGUGCCCUGGAACGGGACGACAGAAGAGGGUGAGAGCCCCGUACAGCUGGACACUAACCCCAUGUCAAGCUCCUUCAACGAGUCGAGUAGAUUGGAAAUGCUGCUCAAAAUGGGAGGUAAAUUUCUUCUAAAGCUAAAUACCGGCCAGAGACCGAUAGCGCACAAGUAGAGUGAUCGAAAGAUGAAAAGCACUUUGAAAAGAGGGUUAAAAAGUACGUGAAAUUGUUGAAAGGGAAGCGCUUGCGACCAGACUCGCGCCCCGUGGAUCAUCCGGCGUUCUCGCCGGUGCACUCUGCGGGGCUCGGGCCAGCAUCGGUUCGCCCAGGGGGAUAAAAGCUCUGGGAAUGUAGCUCUCUUCGGGGAGUGUUAUACGCCCACUGCAGAAUACUCCUGGCGCGGACCGAGGAGCGCGCCCAGUGCAAGGAUGCUGGCGUAAUGGUCGUCAGCGACCCGUCUUGAAACACGG